AGAAAAGAAGGAUGACGGGUCUCCCAGAUUUCCCGACGGAUGUGGCUCGUGCUGAACUGGAAAACCUGGACCCUUGUUUCUCCACCUGAGCAUCAUCUACAUGCCUCUGGCCAGGAGAUCUGGAGAUGGCGGUAAUGAGGAAGCUCCAGUCCUCAGUGCUUCAGCGAAGCGACUGUUUGUAUAAGGUCAUGUCUCUGUGUGCAGAGCUGGACUGUCUCAUUGCUUUAGCUCAGGCUUCUCUGGAUCACUGCUGCUGCUGUCCAACCCUGACACCAAAACCACUGACUGGCCCUGAUUGAGUCACGACAUCCGUUGCUGGAGCUGUGUACUCCAGUAUUUGUGUCAAACACCUACAUCAGCUCCGAAACUGAUGGCAAAGUGAAAGUUAUUACAGGACAAAAUUCCUCCGGCAAGAGCAUCUAUCUAAUACAGG